UACGGAGGUGGCAAGCGUUGCUCGGAAUCACUGGGCGUAAAGGGCGCGUAGGCGGGCCACCAAGUCCGGGGUGAAAUCUUUCGGCUCAACCGGAAAAGUGCCUUGGAUACUGGUGGUCUUGAGCGAGGUAGGGGCAUGUGGAACUUCCGGUGGAGCGGUGAAAUGCGUUGAUAUCGGAAGGAACUCCGGUGGCGAAAGCGACGUGCUGGACCUCUUCUGACGCUGAGGCGCGAAAGCUAGGGGAGCGAACGGG
rnacentral:rRNA from 1 species